rnacentral:misc_RNA from 1 species
GACCCAACAACCUGGCAGUUGGAAUAGAAUUUUUUCGUAAAUAUUUCUGAUAAGUUGUAUAGGUAUUCACACAACACAUUUGGCAAUAGAUUGGUGCAAGCUUCCUCGACAACCUCGGCAAAUUGUAACAAAUGAAGCCCUAAUACACGCUCAUCCUCGUGCUCCAACACAAUUGUUCCCGUUUUCUUUAACUCCUCUAUGUCUUUACCAGACUUCCUGAUGAUUGAACAAAUACGAGCAUGGGCAUACAGCAAAUACACAGCAGUGUUGCCCUUAUCAUUGAGCAUCUGAUCAAAAUUGAACGUAUAGU